rnacentral:lncRNA from 1 species
AGAACAGGAGAGUGAAUCUUGGGGACCGAAGGGAAAAAGGAGCCACUCAGCAGCAUGCAGUGGCUUUGGGGAGACAGAGGAAAGGAGAGAUUGCGAGUGGCAGAAUUGUUUGGAAGGUUUUUAUUUUGGAAAAGCUGUGCAGAAAAAAAUUCAAGAAAAUGUUGCUGUGAAAAGAGAAAAACAAAUCUUAAGCAUUAAAAAAAAUUCAACCAACUAGCUCAGAAGAGGGGAGAAGGCCAAGGUUGAGAGAAGAGUCACAGCCUGUCAGGCAGAUAGCUGGCCUCCGGCGGGAAGGCCAUUUCCCUGAGCACUUGCAGAGGAAGACAGGGUGGUGGCAGGACUGGAGUGGCAGUGGCUCCCAAGGCUCUCUCCUCCAACAUGUGCAUCUGCCAUCUGCUCUGCAGUCCUGCCGCAGGAUUCCCUAGUGAAGCAGCUCAGGCCUGGGGGAGCCGUGUGUAUCCCAGCUGUGCCGGCAGCAUCAUACCAAUCGUGGGGGUGGUGAAGGAGCCAGGGGUUCAUUCAUGGUUGGUUUCUGAUCAGGCAUCUUGGGAAUGGAUAAUGGAGGCAGCCGCUUUCAGGACAGGCAUGUCCAGGGGCUCCUCCCAGCCUCUACCCCGAAGUCCUCUUCCCAAGUGACCCCAGUGAUGUUUCCAUUGAGAUGCGCUCCUGGCUAUGGCAGGCACCUUCUCAACUUAUAUGUGGGAAGGGGUCCCCCAUGCUUGGGGGACCUAGGCAGCUGGCUUGGCCCAAGAGAGAUGAGGAUGGAGGCCAAACCAAAGGGGGGCGCCAAUCCCCUGUCCAACACCUUCUCACCAAAAGCUCCCGUUUGGCUGGAGGCAGACCCUGUGGCUCUGACCAGACUUCUCUGGCAGCAAUCCUCCACCAUUUGUAUCUUAAGAAGGCCCUCACCCUCUUUGAGUGGAGUCAGAGGAUGCCUCAGAUUCCAGAUGUAAGCAUCAGAACUGCUUUCUGUCAAGAGCUCCCUAAUUUUGGGAAAGAAGAGCCUGUCCCACACUGUCAGGCCCUGAGGUCAGCAGAUCUGCUCCUCCUUCCCGUGCGGUACGUCUAGGUGCUGAUGAGGGCAGUCCAGGGCGCUCUUGUUCUGGGACAGGCUCCAGUCCCCUUGCUCCAGCAGGUCUGGGGCAAGGAGGUCAGAGGUGGUGGGAGGGCCCCUGCUCUCUGUUUCCACUUCGUCUGGAUCCUUGCUGCUGCAAAGUGGCACUGAUUCUAGCUCUGUCCCUUCCUCCUUGGCUUUCCGGCUCCGAUGGGGCCAGUGGCAGGGUCCACUCCUACAAACUUGAUUGGAAGCCACAUUCCUCUGGCUCAAAUAUACUUCCAGCAUGUAGUAAACAGUCCAGAAGACGGUGAAACAGCCUACCAGCACCAGGGUCUGGGGCCGAGGCAAGCACCUACGUGAGGCACUGUUUCCCGAAGCCUACAGCCUUUCUCAGCCCAGGACAAUGAGCUCAGAAAGUCUUUUUCCUUCUAGGGACUGCCUUUUUCACCCAAACUGUUCCCUCUGCCCCCUCCCCCGACAAGGCCUGUCCUGUAAGAGUUAGGCUAGCAGGGUAGGAGCAAUGCUAUGAAACCACUGCUGGGACCCAGGUCUUCCCAGUCCUUCACCCCGCAGGUCACCCUGAGAAACACACUAAGAACUCCAUCCCCCAGACAGGACAGUCCCAUCUACCCGCAGCUUGAGUCUUGGCCCUAGUACCUUGAGGGUGUUGGGGGUGAUGGUGUAACCAUCUUCCUCAGGAAUUUUCAGCCCCGGUGGGCAGGGCAGGGCGAAGUCAUCGUGCAGGUAUUUUCCACUCAUGGCACUCUCUAACAGCCUGUGGAGAAGAAAAGAGGUGAGGAUGCCCCACUGACUAUGGUUCCUAUACCAUCUGCCCUCACCCAUUUUCCUGCCUUACAGGUGAAGACAGGGAAGCCCCACAGCAAAAAGGAGAGGCCCAGACUGUGAGUUCCCAGCCCGGGGCUCCAUCUACCGGCUUGACGCUGGAACUGGGAAGCACAGCUGGGGUUCAGAGGGCGAUGGGCUCCCUAGGCGGCCCUUCCCCUGUGACUGGCCUUCCCUCUGACACAUGCGGCUUUACCCACCUUUGUCUGUCCCUGAUGUCUACUGCACUCCACACAGAGCCAUAUAGGGUCAGCUGCCAUUGCCGGAGGAUGCCGACCUGGAAUGACUCAUCCCCUAGGGCAGCAAGGGGCAGCUCGUGAGCCACGCCCCUCUGUCAGCCAUGCCAGACAGCAGAGGCCCUGCCCGCCCUGCCACCCAAAGGGGCUCAGGCCACAUGGUCUGCUCCAGGAGCUGCCUCACUGUGUCCCACUGACCCCAGGUUCUGCAGAAGGGCCUCACUGGGUGCCCUUAGGGAUGGAAAGGGUUGAAAGGCUGUACUCCAAAGCAGAGUCUUGCUUUUCUCUCCCGUAUUUUGGGGGUUCAGCUGGGAUUAGAAAAAAAUGUCUUUCCACCAAAUUAAAGAAAGCUUUGAAAACCACUGGCCUAGAGAAUACCUAACUGACUGGAGGAUGGGAGGGUGGAGCUCAAUUUCCAGUCUAUAGGCUGAUACUAAAGAUAUUCACAAUUCAUGGAUAUUGUGGCCUUCACUGAUAUGGUGACCUUCCACAAGUCACCUCAAACCUCUGGGCCAGUUUAAAAAAAAUGGUGAAAUGAGUCCUGCCCUUACCUGCCUACCGGGGCUGGCCGAAGGAUGGUUAUACGUAAAAGGACUUGAAAUGUGGUUUCGACAAGGACUUUUUGUUGCUAUCCUGAGGAAAGAUGGAUGGGUCACUCCUCCAGGGAAUAUGAGAGGUAGUAUAAAUGAACAGUUGCAGAGAGCAAUGCCCAUUUCACGGAUGGGCACACUCUUGGCAUCAACUCUCUUGGUCCAAUGGCAACCCUAUAUAUUGCACACGGGACACUUUCUGUGGGGACUCUGAGAUGCAGAGGGACCAGAUAACAAGCAGGAAAGGUAGGGCCUGGUGUGAGGGCACGAGACUCACCGACAUCCCUGAUGACAAGCCUGUAGGUCCCUCGGGCUCUCUCCCCCCAGCAUCGCACAGUGGAGAAGGUCCAGUCAUUGAAGCCGUUGGGAUCCCUGAGGAAAGAACACAGCAGAAACAGGUGGAAGGCGUGGGCCAGAGAGCUGACCUUCCCCCAGCAACACUUUCUUACUGUAGUAGCCGUGGAAACAACCUGGGAGGGUGCCACGAGGGCUUCUCAGGUGCCCCUUUCCCCUGGGGUCUCAUGGAAGGAGGAAAUUGUGUUAACGUGGUGUGGUGGAAAAAGCAAGCAUGGAGCGCGCACAGGCUUGGAGUCCCACGGAUCUAGGUUUAUUCUUGUUCUCUUGGGCACUUACUAGCUCCAUGACUUGUUUUCUUUUUCUUUCUUUUUUUUUUUGGAGACAGGGUCUCACUCUGUUAUCCAAGCUGGAGUGCAGUGGCAUGAUCACAGCUCACUGCAGCCUUGACUUCCUGGGUUCAAGUGAUCCUCCCACCUCAGUCUCCUGAGUAGCUGGGACUACAGGCAUGUACCACCAUGCUCAGCUAAUCUUUAAAUUUUUUGUAGAGACAGGGUCUCACUUUGUUGCCCAGGCUGGUCUUGAACUCCUGAGUUCAAGUGAUUCUCCUGCCUUGACCUCCCAAAGUGCUGGGAUUACAGGUGUGAGCCACCACACCCAGCCAGUUUCCUCAUUUGUAAAAGGAGGUUACAAAGUCUAAUCUAGGGGGUUCUUAGAAGGAUUAGAGAACAUGUAUGUGAGGUGCAGGGCCUAGCGCUUGAAGAAGGUAUGUGACGAAAGGCUUCCAGCCGCCAGGGAUAGCCAGUGCCACAGUAGUUUAGGACAGUGCCAGGAUCCACUUCUUCCAUUUCUUUUCCCUGGAAAGGCCCUUGCUGAAAAGGUUGCUCAGGCCUCGGGCGGGUGUACAUACGAGUCCAUGCUGCGGGGGGCGCCGAUGAGGGACAUCAUGCCACUGGGGCAGAACAGCUUCAGCUCCAAGCUGCCGCGCCGUGGGUGAGUGAUGGAGACUGUCACUGCCACAUGCUCCAGGGUCUUCAGCCCUGACAUCUCCAGGUCCAUCCUGCUGACUGUAGAAAGUCAGGCUGGGCAGCUGGGAAACCAGCCCACAAACACGCCUUCACUUCACCCCCACGUACACAAAGACACACGCUCACUGAAGCCACAUACAAACAUCUACGGCAACCCUAACUGGGACCUCGCCUAUACUAGUAAAUGGAAUGGAGCUGCUGCUCUCAAGUUUACAACGUAGCUUCGAGUGCAGUUGGGAAGACGACACAUACCCAAGACACAAUAUAAGAAUCCAGCAGAGCAACUUCAAUCAUUCAUUCAUCCAAAACAUUAUUUACUGGGUACCUCCUCCAUUUCAGGCACUGUACUAGAUGCUGGGAAUAUAAAGAUAAGAUGGGCGUGGUCCCUGCCUCCUACCUGCAAGUGGAAAAUGAUAUGGUAUGGGAAAUAUACAUAAUUGAUAAGGGAAGAGAAAUAAGUCAGAUGGGUUUAGGCACACAGCAGUGAGACACACUGAAGGAAAUGAAUACAGAUCGGUAGACAGGGUUGGUAGAGGGCAUUCUAGGCAGUGGAAAAGGCAUGAACAAAGACGAAAUGCACACAUCUCACUGAAGAUGAUGCACAGUUAAUUUUUAAAAAAUGCUGGUGGAUAAAUUUCAAGCAAAUUAUGUGAGUGAAAAAAGCAAUCUCAAAAGAAGCAUAUAGCCAGGUGUGGUGGUGUGCACCUGUGGUCCCACUACCGGGGAGGGUGAGGUGGGAGGAUCGCUUGAGCCUGGGAGGUGGAGAUUGCAGUGAGCCAUGCUCAUGCUACCACACUCCAGCCUGGGCAACAGAACAAGACCCUGUCUCAAAGAAAAAAAAAAAAAGAAAAAGGAUGCGUAGCACACAAUUCCAUUUAGGUGAUGUUAAUUGAAGUACCUGCAGUGAUACAUAACAGAUAAAUGGGUGCCAGGGGCCAGGGACAGGGGAGGGGAUGGGUGUGGCCAGAAAGGGGUAACACAAAGGAGUCUUGUGAUAAUGGAAUUGUUCUGGAUCUUGGUUGUGGUGGUAGUUAUGCAAGGCUACAUGUGAUACAAUUGCAUACAGCUACACACGCGCAUACACAAAUAUUGACAGCAUGUGUAUCUGGUGAACUCCAAAUAAGCUCUAUGGAUUGUACCAAUGUCAAUUUCUUGGUUUUGAUAUUAUACUUUAAUUGUGUGAAACAUUAAGAUUGGGAGAAGGGUGCACGGGACUUCUCUUGUACAUUUCUUUGAAACCUCCUGUAAAUCUACAAUUAUUAAAACAAAAACAAAAAC